rnacentral:rRNA from 1 species
AAUCAACGCUGGCGGCGUGCCUAACACAUGCAAGUCGAACGCGAAAGCUCCGCAAGGGGCAAGUAGAGUGGCAAACGGGUGAGUAACACGUGGGUGACCUGCCUUCGAGCGGGGGAUAACGUCCCGAAAGGGACGCUAAUACCGCAUAACAUCCUGCCUUUGAAGAGGCGGAGAUCAAAGCCGGGGAUCGCAAGACCUGGCACUCGGAGAGGGGCCCGCGUCUGAUUAGCUAGUUGGUGGGGUAAUGGCCUACCAAGGCAACGAUCAGUAUCCGGCCUGAGAGGGCGGACGGACACACUGGGACUGAGACACGGCCCAGACUCCUACGGGAGGCUG